rnacentral:lncRNA from 1 species
CCUUGCAGCAAGUUGUCAACAAGCCGUUGACAACUUGUCAACAAGCUGGGAACAAGCAGUGCGAACACAUCCUGUUGACAAGUUGUUGGAACAGCAUUACUACAAGUCUGCUGCAGGUUUCUUGUGCGUUUUUACGUGUGUAGAACAAUGCUAAUAUUACGAAAGUCACCGAACUGUGGAAUCGCAUAAAAAAUUCGUAUAUCGACCACUCCCACAAACGUCUACGACCACGCCUACAUUCGACUACAUAGUUUUGCAUGUUUACAAUUCUAAUUUUGAACAGCCAAUCAGGUUCUUGGUAAUUGGCUGUUUAAAAUUAGAAUUGUAAACGUGCAAAACUAUGUAGGCGCGGUCGUAGACGUUUGUGGGAGUGGUCGAUAUACGAAUUUUUGAUGCGAUUCCACAGUUCGGUGACUUUCGUAAUACACCCUUUCGAUAAUUACGUCACAACUACACUGUUUUCAAAUUAGGACCACCUAAAAUGGGCUAUACACAGAGAAGCAGAACAUCCUUCUUGAACACAUGCAUGAAAAAGAAUUCUUUAUCUUGACCAAUAAAUGUGGAAAUAAGCUUUAACACGAAAACGAGGCUCAAGGUCAUGACCUGGAGCCUCGUUUUCGUGUUGGAGCUUAUUUCCAUAUUUACUGAUCAAAAUCCAACAUUUUUUCGCGCAUGUGUU